rnacentral:lncRNA from 1 species
UAUGACUGUUGUAAAUAAAUCAAUAUAACCACAUAUGAUGGGGACUGAUGGGAAAGAAAGUGAUCCCUAAAGCAUGAAGGCCUCGAUCCAUUUAGGAUUCCGUGCUGCUAUGUCCUGUUUUGCAACAUAGCAACUUCAGAAGUUGCCUUUGAUUAUUUUUUGUGCAGACAUCUACGCUCCAUACAGAAGGAAAUGUACUGAAUGUUCUUCCACGAUUAUUGUUCCACUAGGAAAUCAUUACAGUAAUACCCUGCAAGCUGAGUAAUUACUAUUUACAAAGAUCUGAUAAAGUCUUAUAUUUUCCAUUAGUACUGAACUAUACUAAUUUCCUGUCUUUUUAUAGUGUAGGCACUUGGGAUUCCAACUCAUUCUCAGAACUCUAAAACCAUGAGCGGUGAAGAGGAAAAACACCAUUUUCUCUAGGAUAGAUGGUGGCUCACACUUCAUCACAGGAAAUUCCAGGGCGAUGGAGGCAGGCCAUUAUAAAGCUUGGCUACUCAGUCCCAAAAUUCUAGAAUCAGCAGUGCCCUGGAAAAUGCUGGGAAAUAACUGGGGAAUACCAGUUAAUCCUGAAGUCCCACGUGCGUGGGGAACUACAAAGAAGAAAUGGCUGGCUGGCUGAAUUCAAGUAAGCAUGCAGGGCUUGACUCACUCUUUAGCCAAAACAGCCCCCAGCUGAGUGUAAAACACAGAUCUAUGCAGCAAGGCACGGGAAAUAUAGAUUGUUAGACCUUUAAUGUCCCAGUGUUAAGCGCUUAAAAUGCUGCUUCCCCCGCCUUUACUCCUCUCAAAUAGAUCACAAACUUAAGUAAGUUUAAAUGCUUUACUUACAGUAGCCAUAGGCGUCUCACUCAUGUAUCGUUCAAUGCUUACAGCAGAAAAAGCAUAGGCAAGGUAGUCUUGGUUACAAAAUACAGAGGUUGGUCUCAGACACGUGGUCUGAGUCUGAAGUCCCAGCCAUGUGCACAGCUUACACGGUUCAAAGCGGGGGUGGGGGGGAGAGAUGAAUCGGAAACAAACAAUACUUCCUCCCUAAAGGUAAAGCUCCUGCCAACCUAGCAGUUCGAAAGCACGUCAAAGUGCAAGUAGAUAAAUAGGUACUGCUCCGGCGGGAAGGUAAACGGCAUUUCCGUGCGCUGCUCUGGUUCGCCAGAAGCGGCUUAGUCAUGCUGGCCACAUGACCCGGAAGCUGUACGCCGGCUCCCUUGGCCAAUAAAGCGAGAUGAGCACCGCAACCCCAGAGUCGGUCACGACUGGACCUAAUGGUCAGGGGUCCCUUUACCUUUAAAGGUAAGGCGCCUAGCUGCGCCUUCUUUAACAAUUUACAACUCUGUGGUCCUUAAACCCUUUCUUAUUGGCAAAGACAGUUGUGUUUGACGGCAUGAAAUCUCCCACAGAAAGGGGAGGUGAAAAGCCAUCAACAAAAUCAAUCCUAAGGGAUGGGAUGAGAAUGAUCUUACAUAGAAGUCUGAACAGGAGUGAAUGAAGUGGCCAUCAUUUUCUCACUCAGUGGCUCCUAGAUGAAAGAUGCCCACAGGGCUGCCGUUUCAGCAGUCCUUGUGUUAUUAGUAACCGACAUCCCACCAGCAGGAACUGGCUAUGAAUUAUCCACAAAUAAGCUUAAAUGUGACUGAACACAUUUGUUUGUUUCUUUUGAUGAUGGGAGAAUUCUGUGAAAACAAAAGAUCAGAAGACAGGACUAAACUGCAAUUUCCAAACUGGUUGAUUUCCAUUUAAACGGGAAGCAAAAAUCCCACUGUCCCAAGGGGAACAAGAUCUAAAAAGCAAAAGGUUCAGAGUUACCUCCUUUUGUGAUGGUUUUGAGCUUUCCCACAGGUAGUGAUUACCAGUGACUCAGUAGACAGAGGCCUCCGGUCUGAAUUCUUUAUUACAUGUUACUCAAGCAAUCCAAACUCAUCAGUUCUGGUAAUAUUACCUCUUCUGAAGAGCUAAGCUUUUGGAAUCAUGCAAAUUGAGGCUUUUAAGAGAGAGAUCAACAGACCCUUGCUUCUGAGUGGGAUUUCUUUUUACAGAGUGCUGUUUUUAUUCAUUAAUUUCCAACUACAUUCACAUAUUAUAGGGAUCAGAGGGGGAAGACAUCUGAGUACACAUAAUAUCCAAGUAAUUGAAGCAGCAAAUGGUUCCACCCAUUUUUAAAAUAGAGCAUAUAUUGUCACAUGUAUAAGAACCUUCAUGACAAGUUUUCUCUUUAUUUCUUAGGAAAUGGGGUAUUUGAAGUAAAACCUAUUUUAGAUGGAAAGGAAGAGUAUCAACAUGUGUUUGCAUCAAUAGGAAAUAGCAAAGUAGUGUCAUAGAGCUUCUUUAUGCUGAUGACAACGUAGUGUGCACACACUCGGAGGAUGACCUCCAGACCAUCCUAAAUAUGUUCAAAGAAGCUUAUGAAAAGCUUGGUCUAUUGCUCAGUAGCCAAAAAAACCCAAUGUGCUGCAUCACCAAACACAAAACCAACCCCUUUGCAGCACCACAAAUCUAACUUAAUGGUGUAAUGUUGGAAAAUGUUGAUCAUUGUUCCUAUCUAGGCAGUUAUAUUUCCACAAGGGCCGACACUGAUGCUGAAAUCCAGCAAUGCCUGAGCUCUGCAAGUGCAGCUUUCUCCCAAUUGAAGUGUAGAGUGUUUGAGGACUGGGACAUCCGCAGGGAAACCAAAAUGCUUGCUUACAAAGCUGAUGUACUAUUAAUUUUACUGUGCACUUGUGAAACAUGGACCACUUACAAACGCCAUCUCCAGCUCCUCGAAAGAUUUAAUCAACGGUGUUUCUGAGAAUUUUUACAUAUCACUUGGGAAGACAGGUGAACUAAUGUCAGUGUACCGGAAGAAGCAAAGAUCGCCACUGUCAAAGCAAUGAUUCUUCAACAUCAACUUUAUUGGACUGGUCAUGUUGUUCAGAUGUCUGAUUAUCAUUUUCCAAAGCAACUACUCUAUUCCGAACUUAAGAAUGGAAAAUGUAAUGCCAGUGGACAACAAAAAAGGUUUAAAGACACCCUCAAGACAAAUCUUUAAAAAUGUAGUGUAAACAUCAGCAACUGGGAAACACUGGCCUGUGAGCACUCCAGUUGGAGAGCAGUCUUUACCAAAGGUGUCAUGGACUUUGAAGAUGCUCAAACUCAGGAUGAAAGGGAGAAACAUGCUAAGAGGAAGGCAUGUUUGGCAAAUCCUCAUUGUGAUCAGCUCCCACCCAGAAACCUAUGUCCCCACUUUGGAAGGACGUGUGGAUCCAGAAUUGGCCACCACAGUCACUUACAGACUCACUGUUAAAACUGUGUUCAUGGAAGACAAUCUUCCUCGACUAUGAGUGAUUGCCGAAGAAGAAGAAGAAGAAGAAGAAGAAGCAGCCAAGAGGUUAGCACUCAUGAUUUUGGUGCAACUCUAGCAGGGACUUGGAACGAACAGCGAGAGCUUAUGCUUUGAACAUACUCAAACCCCACAAUAUUCUGUUACCUUCUUUCCUCUAGUUCAGUGUAAUGUACUUCUGGUUGUAAGGUAGAAUAGUGAACCAGGAGUUUCCUGC